CCUACGGGUGGCAGCAGUGAGGAAUAUUGGUCAAUGGGCGCGAGCCUGAACCAGCCAAGUAGCGUGAAGGAUGACGGCCCUAUGGGUUGUAAACUUCUUUUAUAAGGGAAUAAAGUGAGGCACGUGUGGCUUUUUGGAUGUACUUUAAGAAUAAGGAUCGGCUAACUCCGUGCCAGCAGCCGCGGUAAUACGGAGGAUCCGAGCGUUAUCCGGAUUUAUUGGGUUUAAAGGGAGCGUAGGUGGGUUGUUAAGUCAGUUGUGAAAGUUUGCGGCUCAACCGUAAAAUUGCAAUUGAUACUGGCAGUCUUGAGUACGGGUGAGGUAGGCGGAAUUCGUGGUGUAGCGGUGAAAUGCUUAGAUAUCACGAAGAACUCCGAUUGCGAAGGCAGCUUACUAAACUGCCACUGACAUUGAUGCUCGAAAGUGUGGGUAUCAAACAGGAUUAGAUACCCGAGUAGUC
rnacentral:rRNA from 1 species